GUGGGGAAUAUUGCACAAUGGGCGAAAGCCUGAUGCAGCAACGCCGCGUGAGUGAUGACGGCCUUCGGGUUGUAAAGCUCUGUCUUUGGGGACGAUAAUGACGGUACCCAAGGAGGAAGCCACGGCUAACUACGUGCCAGCAGCCGCGGUAAUACGUAGGUGGCAAGCGUUGUCCGGAUUUACUGGGCGUAAAGGGUGCGUAGGCGGACCUUUAAGUGAGAUGUGAAAUCCCCGAGCUUAACUUGGGGGCUGCAUUUCAAACUGGAGGUCUAGAGUGCAGGAGAGGAGAGUGGAAUUCCUAGUGUAGCGGUGAAAUGCGUAGAGAUUAGGAAGAACACCAGUGGCGAAGGCGACUCUCUGGACUGUAACUGACGCUGAGGCACGAAAGCGUGGGGAGCAAACAGGAUUAGAUACCCGUGUAGUCC
rnacentral:rRNA from 1 species